UCGCGGCGAACACCACGACGUUACGCCGACGCGAUCGAGGCCGCGGAUUGGGCGGCGGGAGCGAGGGUGGAAACGAUGCAGCACGGCGAGACGCAGCGGCGCCGGCAGAUCCGCGUCUGCCACCUCGCGGCUUCGGCGGAUAGUGCGGUCGGGUACGGUGGCGGUUAUCUUAUGAUCAGAAUACAGACAGACACAGGCGUAGCAUGACAGGUCUAGAGGCAUUUGACCGGCAGAAUUUUAGGUGAACCAGUUCGGCUGCUUGCUUGGCCAUCCGAGUUAAAAGCAUCCAAAGGCAAAAAGUCAGAGCUGCCGAGCGAAGAAAUAAAAGAGUGGUCGAGAAACUAAAAAAAGAUCAGAAAGAAGGAAUGAAAAUUAUGAAAUGGCAAAAGGAAAUUAAAGCAAAGCAUGGAAGGUCCAAGCUACGCAGUGUUAGGCCUACUACUAACCUUGCUAACGACGCAAAGAUUUUAGCUGGUACUGCAGUCGUGGUACUCCUGCAAACAUUAGAGAUCAGUUGCAGAUUCAGGUAGAGUAGGCGAAAGAUGUACUGAUUUUUGUUUUUAGGUUGUACCAUUUUUUGUACAAAUCGCAGCGUAAACACCAACCGACCAGUUUUGUCAAUUGUGAUAUGCAACAAGAGACAUCAUAUU